rnacentral:rRNA from 1 species
AGUUUGAUCCUGGCUCAGAUUGAACGCUGGCGGCAUGCUUAACACAUGCAAGUCGAACGUGAAAGAGGGGCAACCCUCAAGUAAAGUGGCGGACUGGUGAGUAAUACGUAGGAAUCUACCUUAGAGUGGGGGAUAACCCGGGGAAACUCGGGCUAAUACCGCAUAGUCUCUAUGGAGUAAAGGUGGCUAGCAAUAGCUAUCGCUUUAGGAUGAGCCUACGCCGGAUUAGUUAGUUGGUAGGGUAAUGGCCUACCAAGGCAACGAUCCGUAGCUGGUCUGAGAGGACGACCAGCCACACUGGGACUGAGAUACGGCCCAGACUCCUACGGGAGGCAGCAGUGGGGAAUAUUGGACAAUGGGCGAAAGCCUGAUCCAGCAAUGCCGCGUGAGUGAAGAAGGCCUUCGGGUUGUAAAGCUCUUUCAGCUGGAACGAAACGGUACGCACUAACAUUGUGUGCUAAUGACGGUACCAGCAGAAGAAGCACCGGCUAACUACGUGCCAGCAGCCGCGGUAAUACGUAGGGUGCGAGCGUUAAUCGGAAUUACUGGGCGUAAAGCGUGCGCAGGCGGAUUGUUAAGCAAGACGUGAAAUCCCCGGGCUUAACCUGGGAAUGGCGUUUUGAACUGGCAGUCUAGAGUGUGUCAGAGGGGGGUAGAAUUCCACGUGUAGCAGUGAAAUGCGUAGAGAUGUGGAGGAAUACCAAUGGCGAAGGCAGCCCCCUGGGAUAACACUGACGCUCAUGUACGAAAGCGUGGGUAGCAAACAGGAUUAGAUACCCUGGUAGUCCACGCCCUAAACGAUGUCAACUGGUUGUUGGGGGAGUGAAAUCCCUUAGUAACGAAGCUAACGCGUGAAGUUGACCGCCUGGGGAGUACGGUCGCAAGAUUAAAACUCAAAGGAAUUGACGGGGACCCGCACAAGCGGUGGAUGAUGUGGAUUAAUUCGAUGCAACGCGAAAAACCUUACCUACCCUUGACAUGUCCAGAACCCUGAAGAGAUUUGGGGGUGCCCGAAAGGGAAUUGGAACACAGGUGCUGCAUGGCUGUCGUCAGCUCGUGUCGUGAGAUGUUGGGUUAAGUCCCGCAACGAGCGCAACCCUUAUCAUUAGUUGCUACGCAAGGGCACUCUAAUGAGACUGCCGGUGACAAACCGGAGGAAGGUGGGGAUGACGUCAAGUCCUCAUGGCCCUUAUGGGUAGGGCUUCACACGUCAUACAAUGGUCGGUACAGAGGGUUGCCAAGCCGCGAGGUGGAGCCAAUCCCAGAAAGCCGAUCGUAGUCCGGAUUGUUCUCUGCAACUCGAGAGCAUGAAGUCGGAAUCGCUAGUAAUCGCGGAUCAGCAUGUCGCGGUGAAUACGUUCCCGGGUCUUGUACACACCGCCCGUCACACCAUGGGAGUGGAAUCUGGCAGAAGUAGGUAGCCUAACCGCAAGGAGGGCGCUUACCACGCUGGGUUUCAUGACUGGGGUGAAGUCGUAACAAGGUAACC